rnacentral:miRNA from 12 species
GUUUUUCAUUAUUGCUCCUGACC